AUAAAAAUAAAAAAUCGAGUACAAUACCAGUGAAAUUCUUGUCCCUGGACAUGUUCAGGCAGAAGCUGAAUGAUUGACUUACUUGUUGGAAAAGAAGGAAUGUAAAUUACUGAACUAGAUCAUGACUGACCUCUCAGGUUCCUUACAAUGUUGUAAUUGUACAAUGCUCAAUCCAUUUAUCCUACAAAAUAAGUUCAGUACAAGAACAGGCUCUACAACCUACACAAGAGGCUCAAUUUCCUAUGAUGUUUUCUCCGAAAGACAAAAAAUUGCAGCCAAAGAUAAAAUAAGAGGAAAACAUUUAUUUUUGCCAGAACUUCAAGAUGCCCAGUGGAGAUGGCAAACCGAGAUAUAAAAUCAUUUCCUGCUGCCUUCAGUUGACAACCCUAUUUACAUCGCUUCUGAGAAGCUCAAGCUCAAAAAGACUGUUACGGAGACUUAGAAAUUAUGGAGUCCAAGCCAGCUUGAACAGGAUCAUCUGAGGGAGAGAAGAUGAAGAAGAGACUGUCCAAUAUGGUAGUCACCAGUGUCAUACGGCUAUGGAGCCCUAGAACUGCGGCUGACGACAUUGAGAUGUGCUAGAAUGAGAGAACCCUCUGAUGUGGAGUGAGCAGGACCUGAAAUUACUUCCAGAACUAUCCUUGGCACACACCACAAAGCCCCAAAGCUUUGACUUGUAAGUUUCUAUAGUCUUGCUGGUCAUGCCCUGGAAUGACUCAGCAGGAUCAAGACCAGUUACAAAAUUUUACCACUUUUCUUUGUGCCCAGUCUAGAAAGAUUUCUGAGAAGGGUUGUGAUGUAUCCCAAAUGAUAUGCAGAAGUGUAUGGGAGUGUAGGUGACUAUGCUGCAGGUAUGUUUUUUUGCCCAGUGUACACUUGUGAGGUCCUGGUCAACAUAAAGAAUAAAGACAGGUUGCCUCUUUGUUUUCACACUCGACUGUUCCCACUAUGCUAUGGCUAACUCUAUGCUGCUCUCAAGGACACAGCUGUCUCUCCUCCAUCAUAAUGUAAAGAUAAAGCCCACAUGGAACUCAGCAAGGCAGAUACACCAAAGACAGGAAGAAUCUGAAAUUGUGAAAAGUUCAAAUUUUAUAUGUAGAAGUAUAUAUCUUACAAUCCUAUAUAAAAGUUCAUAUAUAUAUAGAUAGAUAGAUAGAUAUAGAUAUACAUAAUUACUUGAAAGUAUUGUACACCUGCAUACACAUAUGUAUUUGCAUAUAUGUGCAGGCAAAGAAAGUACUGGAAAGUAGGCAGUUGAGAUUUUCAAAUGCUUUGAAUGGCUAUUUUAAUGAAGAGCUAAGAAUGAUUUACAAAGUUUAGUUCUUCUAAAGUACUUGAAAGCAAUUUCUUCUCAAUGGUAGGUAAGGAAUCCCUGUUUUUGAUCUUGUUUCACUCACUUUUUUUUAGAAAACUUUAAAUAUAAUAUACAUAUAAAUAAGAUGAUGCAGCAUUUGUUUUUCUGUAUCUGGCUUAUUUCGCUUAGCAUAAUAUCCUCUAUGUCCACCCACUUUGUUGCAAAUGACUGAAUUUCCGUUCGUUUUAAGGCUGAAUGGUAUCCCAUUGUGCAUACAAUGUUCACCAGAGGCUUGGGUAGGAGGAGGAAAGAAAUAGAUAGUUACUGGUCAAAGGAUAAAAAAUGUCAGAGAGACAGGAGGAAUAAAUUUGAGAUCUAUUGUACAUCAGGAUAACUAUAGUCAAGAAAAAAUAAUGUACAUAAAGGCAUUUAGUCAAAAGUGGAUUAUCUAAUUCCAGACUUGUGAGAACUUACAGAAAUGAAGGCAUAUCUGAGAAAGUAUUUGCAAAUAACCACUACUUCACUAUUCCAAAAUUAAUGUCCAAAAGGCCUCUCUGAUUAUCCAAAUCCAGAGAAAAUAAAUUUUGAAUACAUAAUACAAGGAUAUCCUUGUAAAAAGUGAUGGCAGCUGCCCCUGCACAGAGAAAUGGAGGGGCUUAGAGAGAGAAUUACAUAUUUAUAUACUUUUGUGUCUGUUAAAUUUUGAAUCAGGUGUUUUCCCUAUUCAAAAAAAAUGGAAAUUAACAUCUUUUAAAAUUACUAUUCAGUGUUACUAUUUUUACUUAAUCUCUCUUUGACAAGCCAUUUAUCUUACAUUUAUUCUCCUCAUGUAUUUGCCAUGACUUCCAAAAUCUUCAAGAAAUCUCAUUGCUUCGUUUUUAUCUCUGCACCAUGUUCAUUUCUCCUCACUCAUAUGUUGCACCAAAAAUAUUCUUCAGCACUUUUCAUGUUUUUAUGCUGCAUGUCUACAUUUGGAUUAUGGUUUUCCAGGGAGAUUGCAAAGGGAGGUAAUAUGAGUGUUAGUUCUCAUUGACAGCCUACGUUAGAAUUUUAGCUCCUGCCUCUUACUAAUUUUAUAUCCAUGGUCACAUAACUAAAAAUCUCUAAUACUCAGUUCCUUCAUUUUGAAAAGAGGAUAAUAAUAGUAAUAAUAUCUUGUUGUGUUGUCAAAAUAUUAAAUAGUACAUGUAAAAUACUUUGCCUAGUACUCUGUACACUGUAUUCACUCAAUAAAUAAU
rnacentral:lncRNA from 10 species